AUUGAACGCUGGCGGCAGGCCUAACACAUGCAAGUCGAGCGGAGCGGCGGACGCGUGAGUGAUGCUUAGGAAUGUGCCUGUUAGUGGUGGAUAACGUCCGGUACCGGGCGCUAAUACCGCAUCCUAUCAGAUGAGCCUAGGUCGGAUUAGCUAGUUGGUGGGGUAAAGGCAUACCAAGGCGACGAUCCGUAACUGGUCUGAGAGGAUGAUCAGUCAAACUGGAACUGAGACAAGGUCCAGACUCCUAAGGGAGGCAGCAGUGGGGAAGAUUGGACAAUGGGCGAAAGCCUGAUCCAGCCAUGCCGCGUGUGUGAAGAAGGUCUUCGGAUUGUAAAGCACUUUAAGUUGGGAGGCGUUACCAACAGAAUAAGCAACGGCUAACUUCGUGCCAGCAGCCGCGGUAAUAC
rnacentral:rRNA from 1 species